rnacentral:piRNA from 1 species
UGGUGUCCUAUUGUCAAACGUUCAGUUU